UACAGAGGGUGCAAGCGUUGUUCGGAAUUAUUGGGCGUAAAGGGCGCGUAGGCGGUGCGGUAAGUCUGUAGUGAAAUCUCUGGGCUCAACUCAGAGUCUGCUGCAGAAACUGCCGUGCUCGAGGGAGACAGAGGUGAGCGGAACUUAGGGUGGAGCGGUGAAAUGCGUUGAUAUCCUAAGGAACACCGGUGGCGAAAGCGGCACACUGGGUCUCUUCUGACGCUGAGGCACGAAAGCUAGGGGAGCAAACAGG
rnacentral:rRNA from 1 species